rnacentral:rRNA from 1 species
GAUGAACGCUAGCGGGAGGCCUAACACAUGCAAGCCGAGCGGUAUUGUUUCUUCGGAAAUGAGAGAGCGGCGUACGGGUGCGUAACACGUGUGCAACCUGCCUUUAUCUGGGGGAUAGCCUUUCGAAAGGAAGAUUAAUACUCCAUAACAUAUUGAACGGCAUCGUUUAAUAUUGAAAGCUCCGGCGGAUAGAGAUGGGCACGCGCAAGAUUAGCUAGUUGGUGAGGUAACGGCUCACCAAGGCGAUGAUCUUUAGGGGGCCUGAGAGGGUGAUCCCCCACACUGGUACUGAGACACGGACCAGACUCCUACGGGAGGCAGCAGUGAGGAAUAUUGGUCAAUGGGUGCAAGCCUGAACCAGCCAUCCCGCGUGAAGGACGACUGCCCUAUGGGUUGUAAACUUCUUUUGUAUAGGGAUAAACCUACCCUCGUGAGGGUAGCUGAAGGUACUAUACGAAUAAGCACCGGCUAACUCCGUGCCAGCAGCCGCCGCCG